rnacentral:rRNA from 1 species
CAGUCGCCGCGGUAACACGGAGGGGGCUAGCGUUGUUCGGAAUUACUGGGCAUAAAGCGCACGUAGGCGGCUUGGUAAGUUAGAGGUGAAAGCCCGGAGCUCAACUCCGGAAUUGCCUUUAAGACUGCCGAGCUAGUAGGUGAGAGAGGUAAGUGGAAUUCCGAGUGUAGAGGUGAAAUUCGUAGAUAUCGGAAGGAACACCUGUGGCGAAAGCGGCUCACUGGACCACAACUGACGCUGAUGCACGAAAGCUAGGGGAGCAAACAGGAUUAGAUACCCCAGUAGUCCCUGUCUCUUAUAC